AUGAUAUGCAAAAAGUUCAUGAAGAUAGUGAAAAAGAAACUCUCCAAUAAAGCAACAGUGGAUGAAAUCGAAACCAAGCUGAAAAAGGUCUGUCAUAUGAUGACAGCGUAUUUGAAGAAAGAUGAUUGCAAUAAAUUAUUUGAGGAAUCUAUGAAGAUGCUGAUCAAAGAGCUGAAGACAAAAGACGGGCUAAACACCUUCUGUACUAGAAUUCAUUACUGCAAGUCAGAACCAUAAAGGAGAUCAUUCUCAUACAUGAUCAAGCUCAUGCCAAUUUCUGAAUGAGAAUAAAUUACUUUGAAAGCAUUACAGCAGGGUUCCUCAAAUCUUGUCCUGGAGGACCAAUGCACUGCCGAGUUUAGCUCCAACCCUGA